rnacentral:rRNA from 1 species
UACGUAGGGUGCGAGCGUUAAUCGGAAUUACUGGGCGUAAAGCGUGCGCAGGCGGUUCUGCAAGUCAGAUGUGAAAUCCCCGGGCUCAACCUGGGAACUGCGUUUGAAACUACAGGGCUAGAGUAUGGGAGAGGGAGGUAGAAUUCCACGUGUAGCAGUGAAAUGCGUAGAGAUGUGGAGGAAUACCAAUGGCGAAGGCAGCCUCCUGGCCUAAUACUGACGCUCAUGCACGAAAGCGUGGGGAGCAAACAGG